GUGGGAGAGGGCGAAUUUUGCCCACACAUGACGAGCAAACUGGUCAGACCUCAGCUGGCUUUCGCUCCCAACUGGAAGGGAAGGAGAGAUGGGAGAGGAAGUCUGUAACAAGGAUGUGAACUACAAGCAAUGUCUAGAGCACCCGACUACCCAACCUGGAGCAGGCCAUUUGAACAUACUGACCCUAGGAGGACAAAAAGUGGAGAAAGAAUGUAAAAAAUCUCACCAAUUUAUUUAACAUGAA